GGAGAUAAUUCUGUUCAUCAAGCUUAAAGCGUUGGAAUCCCCAUUCAGCAGGCAUCGCGGAUGCGACUUAUGAAAUAUGUACGCAGUAAUGACACAACACAUAAAACUCAAACAGAAAAUGAAAUAAAUGAAUUUAAUUGGCUCACGCGAAAUACGGUAAAACUAAUCCAUUUUAAUUAAGGUAAAUAAAAUGUAAUUUUCAAAGUGAUGGCGGUCAGGUCAUAAGGGCACCGGGCACCAAAAGGGAUUAUGCAGUCCCGCAAAAAGUGCGAUAAAAAAGCUGAGUAGAAUACUCGUACAAUACGGAACCGAAAUCGAAACUGAAAAUGAAACCGAACGAGCAUAAUUAUUGGCAGACGGGGUAAAGUUAGAUAAACGGAUUUAAAUUGUGGAUGCCGUGUGUGUGCGUUUCUGUGUCCUCUGUAAAAUGCAUAAUUCAUAAUUAUGCACAUGGUAAUGUGUGUAAAUAAAUAAAAUUCCACAUUAAUUUGUUGACAAUUAUGAAUUUAUUAGCUGAACAAAGGCUUGUAGCCAAAUCUGCACUGUAGCUUACAAAGCGAUUAAUUAGCGCUCGGCUGGCAUUUGGACUGUCAACAAAUAUUUAACUACUCAUUAGGCGCCCUCCAGCCAGAGUCAAGCCCGUAGCCAGCGCGGCAUUACGUAUACGCCGCGUAUUACCGGUACUAGCACCUGCCCCUCAUUAGAAUUCAGUUUGUGUCCCGGUGUCUCGUCUCGUCUCAAGUUAACUCCAGCUUCAAUGUUCCGCAACGUGUGCCGCAAACGCAAAAGCAACAGCAAAAGGAAAAGGAAACGCACACGGAAAAUAAGAAAAUUGUGUGUGCUGGGGCAAACUACUUGCUAUUCAGCAAUGGAUGCUGCGAUGGAAACGAAAGGAAGACCGUAAAAAAGUUUUUCAAAUGUGGACAAUGACUACGGUUACCUGUUGUCAGGCUUUUCCAGCACAGACAGAGACAGAGGAAGAGUCGGACAGAGAGGAGGAAGAGGGAGGCACAGGCCAGCAAAAGGAAAAGUUUUGACAGGAAAACGACAAAACGGUGCCAAAUUAUUGGACAAUUAAUAAACACUGCAAAAGGAAUUCAACUAAUGUACGAGCAAUUACAACAAUCAAUCCAAUUAACGUAACACAAAGGGAGUAGAGCAGACAAUAGAAAACCACGAAAGCAAUCCAAUCCUCUCAGUCGGUGGGUCGGUCGGUCGGUCGAUGAUGAUGAAUGAUGCAUUUUCUUUUGAUUUUUCCUAUCCUUUCCUUUCACUUUGUUUUAUUUUUGUAAUGGCUGCAGAGCGAACGAAAAGGGAAGGAAUAAAAACUAUAAGCCAUCAGAACUGCUUGAAUUUUAUUGACGAAAUUGAUAAAGUGGCUGUAGCAAAAUCGAAAGGAAUUGUAAAUGCAAGGCGAUCGAUCGAUGGACCAAAAAAGGGUAAGGGCUGACUGAGGAAGGACAGGGACUGGGGCUGGGCAAUCAACGAGCACAAGUACAAGGAUUUUGGGAUUUAUUUUCGACAUUUUACCUUCCCCCGUUUCGACUUAUGUUUUGCAUGCAUAAAAAUGUGAAAAAAUGCGCUUGACUGUGGACAGGAGAGAGCGCUC